AUUGAACGCUGGCGGCAUGCCUUACACAUGCAAGCCGAACGGCAGCACGGGGCAACCUGGUGGCGAGUGGCGGACGGGUGAGUAAUGCAUCGGAACGUACCUUUCAGUGGGGGAUAACGUAGCGAAAGUUACGCUAAUACCGCAUAUUCUGUGAGCAGGAAAGCAGGGGAUCGCAAGACCUUGCGCUGAUUGAGCGGCCGAUGUCAGAUUAGCUAGUUGGUGAGGUAAAGGCUCACCAAGGCGACGAUCUGUAGCGGGUCUGAGAGGAUGAUCCGCCACACUGGAACUGAGACACGGUCCAGACUCCUACGGGAGGCAGCAGUGGGGAAUUUUGGACAAUGGGGGCAACCCUGAUCCAGCCAUGCCGCGUGAGUGAAGAAGGCCUUCGGGUUGUAAAGCUCUUUCGGCCGGGAAGAAAUCGCACGGGCUAAUACCCUGUGUGGAUGACGGUACCGGAAUAAGAAGCACCGGCUAACUACGUGCCAGCAGCCGCCGCAGUAA
rnacentral:rRNA from 1 species